rnacentral:rRNA from 1 species
GAGUUUGAUCCUGGCUCAGAGUGAACGCUGGCGGCGUGCUUAACACAUGCAAGUCGAACGAGAACGGCUCUAGCUUGCUAGAGUGUCAGCUAAGUGGCGGACGGGUGAGUAAUGUAUAGUUAAUCUGCCCUUUAGAGAGGAAUAACUACUGGAAACGGUAGCUAAUACCUCAUACUCCUUCUGUCUUAAUGAUAGUUGGGAAAUGUUUUUUCGCUAAAGGAUGAGACUAUAUGGUAUCAGGUAGUUGGUGGGGUAAGAGCCCACCAAGCCAAUGACGCCUAGCUGGUCUGAGAGGAUGAUCAGCCACACUGGAACUGAGACACGGUCCAGACUCCUACGGGAGGCAGCAGUGGGGAAUAUUGCACAAUGGAGGAAACUCUGAUGCAGCAACGCCGCGUGGAGGAUGACACAUUUCGGUGCGUAAACUCCUUUUAUAUGGGAAGAUAAUGACGGUACCAUAUGAAUAAGCACCGGCUAACUCCGUGCCAGCAGCCGCGGUAAUACGGAGGGUGCAAGCGUUACUCGGAAUCACUGGGCGUAAAGCGCGCGCAGGCGGCUAUUUAAGUUGGAUGUGAAAGCCUACGGCUCAACCGUAGAACUGCAUCCAAAACUAUUUAGCUAGAGUGUGGGAGAGGAAGAUGGAAUUAGUUGUGUAGGGGUAAAAUCCGUAGAGAUAACUAGGAAUACCAAAAGCGAAGGCAAUCUUCUGGAACAUUACUGACGCUGAGGCGCGAAAGCGUGGGGAGCAAACAGGAUUAGAUACCCUGGUAGUCCACGCCCUAAACGAUGAAUGUUAGUCGUCGGGUAGCUAGUCUAUUCGGUGAUGCAGCUAACGCAUUAAACAUUCCGCCUGGGGAGUACGGUCGCAAGAUUAAAACUCAAAGGAAUAGACGGGGACCCGCACAAGUGGUGGAGCAUGUGGUGUAAUUAGAAGAUACGCGAAGAACAUUACCUAGCCGUGACAUAUAUUAGAAGUCAUCAGAGAUGGAGAGGUGCUUUCGUGAGCUUUUAUACAGGUGGUGCACGGCUGUUGUCAUCUGGUGUUGUGAGAUGUUGGGUUAAGUCCUGCAGCGAGCGCAACCCUCGUCAUUAGUUACUAACGGUUCGGCGGAGGACUAUAGUGAGACUGCUUUCGUAAGGAGGAGGAAGGUGAGGAGGACGUCAAGUCAUCAUGGCCGUUAUGGCUAGGGCAACACACGUGGUACAAUGGUCAGGACAGUGAGAAGAGAUACCGCGAGGUGGAGCAAAUAUAUAAACAUGGUGUCAGUUCGGAUUGUAGUAUUCAACUAGUCUACAUGAAGAUGGAAUAGUUAGUAAUCGUGAAUGAGAAUGUCACGGUGAAUAAGUUCCCGGGCGUUGUACACACCGCCCGUCACACCAUGCGAGUGGACUGCGCCAGAAGAGGUUAGCGUAACGCAAGAGGGUGAUCUCCACGGUGUGGUUAAUGACUGGGGUGAAGUCGUAACAAGGUAACCCNA